AUAUACUGGAAGCAGAAACUGCAGUUCAUUUGCAUUUCAUAGUUGAAAAUUGUCCUCCUACACGGCAUUGAGAAAAAAACAUAUGAGAAACUUCCUGCCACAGAUAUAUAGCUGCUCUGUAUAGUGUGUUUUUUUUUUUUUAAAUUUUUAUUUUUUUUCAAAUACACAGAUCAUGGAUUUCAGGAAUGAAUAGCUCAGUAUCCCACCUGGCUUCUUUUAUGUCUACAGUUUGCUCAAAUCACAAGACAGCAUCUCCAAAAAGCAGUGAAGGAAUCGGUCUUUGGUAACAUUCCUCUAAAUGACUCUGACAAACGUGUGACUCUGCCUCUGAUGAGUUAAAUGAUAGCAGCUGGGGAAGCCUUGGAAAGUCUUCACUGCAUUAACUUUAUGUGACGUUGAAACACCUGAACUGAGCCUGUCUUCUACGAUGCAUUGGGUUUUAUUAAAAACAUGUCACAGCAAGAAAUCCUUCUCCUGUGUCCCAGAUCAUGUAGCUGCAGUUACCAGGCACCAUUGUUUCCUUCUUCAUACAUAUUGAGAGCCAGACUGGAAGUAAUCCAAGCAGCUUCAAUUUUGCCUAAAGUAGCAGAAGAGUUUCCCUUCCAUGCUUCCAGACCCAGAGAAGUGGCUGGUGCUUGAAAACCGAAGCAGCAACAAGAAAACUGUUAAGGAUGAGUUCCUCCUCCCGCCUCUCCAAAGGAUUUGAGUUUUGCUCUGCGAGUCCCUAAUGUGCCUGUGUAUGAUGAGGUGGUGAUGCUAAGAGCGAAACUGUACAAAGGCUGCACUCCCUUGGACUCUGUUUUCUUCAGCCAUCUCUCUAAUCCUUCACCUUCAGGAAUGCAUGACAGAGUUGAUUAAUAAAUCGAAAAUAAGGCUGGGAAUCACUUAAUUAAGCCUGGAAUUGCAUGGAUGUUUGUUUGGAGGGAAGAAGAACUUGAGUUUAUGUAAAUAUAACUAUAAUCAAGAAGCUUGACAG
rnacentral:lncRNA from 1 species